rnacentral:rRNA from 1 species
AUUGAACGCUGGCGGCAGGCCUAACACAUGCAAGUCGAACGGUAACAGGAAGAGGCUUGCUUCUUUGCUGAAGAGUGGCGGACGGGUGAGUGAUGUCUGGGAAACUGCAUGAUGGAGGGGGAUAACUACUGGAAACGGUAGCUAAUACCGCAUAACGUCGCAAGACCAAAGAGGGGGACCUUCGGGCCUCUUGCCAUCGGAUGUGCCCAGAUGGGAUUGGCUAGUAGGUGGGGUAACAGCUCACCUAGGCGCAGAUCCCCAACUGGUCUGAGAGGAGGAGCGGCCAGACUGGAACAGAGACACGGUCCAGACUCCUACGCGAGGCAGCAGUCGGGAAUAUUGCACGAUGGGCGCGAGCCUGAUACAGCAAUGCCGGGUGUAUGAAGAAGGACUUCGGGUGGGAAAGUACUUUCAGCGGGGAGGAAGGAAGGAAAGGUAAUAUCUGUACACAUUGACGUUACCCGCAGAAGAAGCACCGGCUAACUCCGUG